ensembl:lncRNA
CAUAAUUCCACCAUCUGUCUCUGACAUCAUGGGUCAGCAUCAUAAAACAGGAGGUAUUAUUUUUGGAGCCAUAGUACAUUACUGUUUUAAGUGAACUUAAAAUUAAUUGCUCAUGUGUCCCUAAUUGUAAUCAGCUUGUUUUGAUUUGUGAUCUGGAACAGUCUCAAAGUACACUGAAUUACUUGCUGAUGAAAUAAGACCAGAAGCUGCUGUGGAGUAGCAUGGUUAACGUACUGCAUGCUAUCAGAGUGAGAGCAAUCACUUGUCCAGUGCCAAGACUACAAUCAAGAUUAAAACUGGAACUGAUGGAGUUAGUAUGUGGGAGGGAGAGGGGGAUCCCAUCUCGGCUGCUGUGGAUGCAUGGAGAAUGCAGCAUGUACCUUAAGUCCAUUUCAUGAGGUGUACGAUGCUCAGCUUAUACAGGGUCAUAGGAUCAAUCCCUCCAGAAUCCUGAAAUACGGCCUAGAUUUUUCAAGUCUGUUAGCUGUAUCAAAGCACUAUUUGCCUGAUACUGAACUAAGUACAAUUAAUUUAUUGCAACUGAUAGAGAAGAUAGGUAUUUUGUAGUUUGUAUUUAUCUUGCACUGAAUCAUCAACAUGAAAAAAUUGCUGUACUGUGAAUUUUAUAAUUGAUGAAGUACAAAACAUC